rnacentral:tRNA from 1 species
CGCGGGGUAGCGCAAAUGGCAGCGCACGGGACUCAUAAUCCUGAGGUUGGAGGUUCGAAUCCUUCCCCCGCAA